GAUGAACGCUAGCGGCAGGCUUAACACAUGCAAGUCGAGGGGUAUAGUUCUUCGGAACUAGAGACCGGCGCACGGGUGCGUAACGCGCAUGCAAUCUACCUUUUACAGGGGAAUAGCCCAGAGAAAUUUGGAUUAAUGCCCCAUAGUAUAGUUUAUUCGCAUGAGUAGAUUAUUAAAGUUCCAACGGUAAAAGAUGAGCAUGCGUCCCAUUAGCUAGAUGGUAAGGUAACGGCUUACCAUGGCGACGAUGGGUAGGGUUCCUGAGAGGGAGAUCCCCCACACUGGUACUGAGACACGGACCAGACUCCGACGGGAGGCAGCAGUGAGGAAUAUUGGUCAAUGGACGCAAGUCUGAACCAGCCAUGCCGCGUGCAGGAUGACGGUCCUAUGGAUUGUAAACUGCUUUUGUACGAGAAGAAACACUGCUACGUGUAGCAGCUUGACGGUAUCGUAAGAAUAAGGAUCGGCUAACUCCGUGCCAGCCGCCGCCGUAA
rnacentral:rRNA from 1 species